UACGUAGGCAGCGAGCGUUGUUCGGAGUUACUGGGCGUAAAGAGUGCGUAGGCGGUUUUCUAAGUUUGGUGUGAAAUCUCCCGGCUCAACUGGGAGGGUGCGCCGAAGACUGGAAGGCUUGAGUAUGGGAGAGGUAAGCGGAAUUCCUGGUGUAGCGGUGAAAUGCGUAGAUAUCAGGAGGAACACCUGCGGUGUAGACGGUUUACUGGACCAUAACUGACGCUGAUGCGCGAAAGCCAGGGGAGCGAACGGG
rnacentral:rRNA from 1 species